GAUUAUAGGUAACAAAACCUGGUAAAACUUAAUGGUGAAAUUUGCUUUGAAACAACAAUAUCCACAUGUAAAAGAAAUAGAGACGAUAUCUACUGAAAGUUCGCUGCAAAUGGAAGAACUUUUUUUCAUUCAGGUGUUCUUUUGAUCAUUGGCGUACCUUGGACGAUCAUUGGCGUACCUUGGCCUCAGAGCAGGGGCUCACUAUUUUCUAAUUCACUAACAGAACUCCGGACCCAAAAUUAGUAAAUGGAUGUUCUCCAGGUUAGGAUACAAUACUGCUAACUAUAUUUGCUACCCCACCUCAACGAUCACACCUCAGAACCUGCAACCCGAAUGCUCGGAACUGGUUUCGUUUUACUUUGUCACUAAUAGUGUGUUAAUUCACCACUGUCUAGCCCCUAGCCCUGCACCAUUUUUCAUUUUUGAUUGUUAAUUCACCCAUAUUAUCCUGCACACCAACCUAGCCAAGAAACAUAGCUAGCAAACAAAGCAAGAAUGUAGAACAUGUAGUGUGGUUAACUGAUAAGAUUGAUCAAACACCAUUAAAAGACAUUCUUAAAAAAAUAAUGUCAAAGUAGGCAAUGAACAUGAAGAGUCGGUCAACACUUACGUAUAAAUUCUAAACAUGGGAGAAAAAUUAGUUUCAUGUGAAAACUGAAGGGAAGGCACAUGAUGUGAACUUCUGACAAUAUAAACAAUAUUCUCAUUCAUGAAAUUCUGAAGUUACCACCGCCUAUACGAAUAGGAUGGCAUUGGUUAGGACGUUAGGUACACUAUACUUUCAAAGAUGAUCGGAAAAAAUACAGGAUGAGAGAUACCUUGUCAAUUGAACAAGCUCAACCAAGAUAGUUAGAUGAGAUCUCCUAGUUCUCUACAAAAUGCAGGGUGAAAAAAAUAAGCAACGCUUGUUAUAGUUCUCAAUUUCUCAAUAUGUACCAGAAAUGCUAAAAUAGCCCAUCUGAUGCUGAAAAAUAUACAGACAGAUGCAUGAGAACCCGUUCCUUAAACAAACAGUAUGAGAAUGUGACGACAAAACAAGUUUUAUCCUUAUACAAAUACUAUGAGCAUGUAAUUCCAAAGUAAACACACACUUUGCCAAAACAAUAGAAACAAGAUGGGAUAUAAUGCCAAAAUAAAUCCACAUAAUGCCAAAACUGUAGGAUCCAAAAAAAGGCAGUCACCUGCGCAACUAAGCAAUGUGAGCUAUCCCCGAAGAGCCACAACUUAUCCGCUGCAAGAGGAAGAACACUACUGGCUGCAAGAGGAAGAACACUACUGGUCACUAACCAGCAAAACAAAUCCUAAUAACAUCUCCGCCAAACAGGCAAAAAUGGACCUAGGUAAUCUUCAGAAUCAGGCAGGGAAGGAACCAGCAAAGGUAGCACAGGGCUAGGAAAGGGACCAGAACAAUACACUCUUCAACGGCAUGCCGGCGGCCAAGGUGACGGCAAGCAAACCGCACGGCCAAGAGGUCACACCCUUGAACUACCUG
rnacentral:lncRNA from 1 species